rnacentral:lncRNA from 1 species
CCGGAGUCUUGGGGUUUCUGUGAUGUCACACUCACCUGCUGUCUCCUGUGCCCGUCUCAGGGCCCUGUGCCCUGUGUGCCUGGCCAGCAGACAGGGUGGGGAGAUGCUUUCCACAGCUCAGAGUCGCUCAGCGAAUGACAAGGGCCCGCUUUCCCUGCCCACCUGCACCUACAAAGAGUGUGGGCCUUCCCAGCGUCCUGUCCCAGUUUGAAAUCUUAAAGGAGGAACCAAGAGAGCCUUUGUUUUGAUCUAUGAGUCCUGCUGUGACUAGAGGUGGAGUGUGGAGACCUCAGGCGAAGUGUAGCCAGUGUCUUAACUCGGUGCCAGGGAAGCAGCGAACAUCCACGUGCGGGCUUGCAGCUCACCCUGUUUUAGCAGGGCUGACAGGAUCCCAGAUUCUGGUGCAUAAUGCAGAAGGAGUCUUGAACGUCUGGACACAGAGCAUCCACCUGGUGUAAAUCGCCCGACAAAUCUUACAGCCUUGGGUUGAAGCCCUGCAAGGAGUACUGUGUCUCCCAGCCCUGUAGUGUCACUUCGGAGAGUGCAGAGAGCUCCCCAAGCUCAGAGGAGUAUGGACAUAUCUACCCCAAACCGUGCUCUGAGAAAAACAAAACAAAACAACAACAACAACAACAACAACAAAAAAACAAAAUAGAGGAACCGCACUUCCCUGGAAGAAAGGCUGUCUCAGCCUUGCAGUCUAGCCGUCCAUGUUCCACACCUGUCUGUCAUGAGGCAUGGUGGGAAGAUCCUUCCUUGAGGGUCUUCGAAAUGGGGCUCCAUCUCCGUCAUCAUUUCAGUGGAAUUGGCCCAUGCUCCCCUGGGACACCUGUCACCUGA